UGCCGCCGCCCUCCUUGGGCGUUUCCUCCCUAGACUUGGGCCGCUGCCGAAAGGCUAGCGGCCCCUUUCUUUUUCAGGG
rnacentral:sRNA from 1 species